UGAAAAACAGGCCAGCAAAUCUGAAAGCUUCUCUGGGAAAAGAUAUGUGUCCUGGGAAACAAAGAGAAAGAUCAUGGUCAUCUCAGCUCCAGCAGUUGAAGCCAGUUUUUAAUGGCAAUGAUUACGUUAGCACUAAAGCCACUGGCCAGGGAGGAAAGUGAAGGACAAGUCACUUGUCACUGCGUGUGGAGGAGGGAUGCUCAGUGCUGUCUGUCUGCUGGGGACUGCUCAUAAUAGCACCUCCAAACCUUCUUCCACCCAAAAGACUUGAAUGUUGAUCCAGCCAGAGGCUGCUUUAUGGAAUGGGACUUCAGAGACUUGUGAUGGUAGCAGAGCUGGGACCCUGAUCCCAGAUUUUCUUCCAGUAAAUCUCGAGGGAGAGAUGCUCAAACAUGUGUUUGUGCUUGCAGUGAUGGGAGCUCCAUGGAGCAGAAGGCAUCCAACCAUGUGCUCUUUCUCAUGCUCUCCUUGAUGUUUGGGAAAAGAUCUCUGCCAAUCUUACGUGAAGCCUUGAAGCUGCAUGAAGAGGCAAGAAGGAAAAAAACAGUCCUCCCAUAAGAGUGGGCUGAAAGAAGCUGUAAUUUCUCUUCUCCUGGUCCAGCAACCCCACGUCCCCCACAGCAGCACUGGUAGAGUUGUUGCUUGCUCGACUCUCCCCUCUCCUCGCCCCCUCCUCUGCCUCCCCCCAGCUCUGCUCCAUGCACUCCCAGCUGCUCUAGGAUGAUACAGGCAGGCGUGGAGUUCAUGGGAGCCGUACCUGUGCUUUGUCUUCAUCUGUCACCCCUCCUGACAGUCAGAUCCAUCUUAAAAUGGGAGCGAGAGGGGAAGAGAAGGAAGCAAUAAUUAACCUCUGCGCAGGCCGAUCCUGAAAUGCUGCAGUCUGGUGAUGCACGAAGAGAUGUCCCUGACACUUUUAUUGCUACUCCAGUGCCGUGCUGCGUCUGUAGGAGGGUGGUUAUUCAUCACUCGGGAAUGAUGAAAGACUGUGAGUCUGUGUGGAUGCUGGAGAGCAGCAGCACUGCUCGAUGCCAGUGUGCAGCCGCAAGCCCUUCCUUCGCCGCUGAGCCUGACCACCGGUGGAGAUGGCGAGUGAGCUGCUGGAUGAUCCCAAACCCUUCACAACACCAAAUGGCAAGCUAGGCUUGCUCCACCAAGCUCCAGAGAUCAAGUCAUCUUAGGCUUGUCCAGCAAUCAGGUGGGAAACUGGCUGAAGCAUGUGGAGGGAGAGCUGCUGUGCUGGGAGAGGACCUGAAGGGAUGGAAACAUGUGGCCCCGCUCUGCUUCAUCAGACUCUUGCAUUGCUCCUGAGGGUUAGUUGUAUGGUAAGCUUACAGGGCAAAGCUGAUCUUCCACUGCUCUGCGAGCCCACAAACCACCGUGUUCAGCAAACUGGUCCCAACCCUACUGAGAAAGGCCACGGUCUGUGAGAGCAGAGCUACAGGGAGUGAGUGAAGGGGUGGCCAGUGCCCCAGGCUGGGCAGGACCUGGGUAUAACAUCAGCUGGAACAGCCACAGGGAAGGCAGCUGCUUUGGGUGCAUGUUGGCUUCUUCCAAGGGUUUGGCAGAUGCACUUCCACCUCUGCCACCCGCUGCCUGGGCAGACGGGUCAGAAGGCUGCCAGAGCAGAUCCUAGCUGUGCCCUGGGACCAUGGCAUCCAAGAAAAAGGCAAGGGAUAUGUCUCCCUCUGUCCCUUUCCCCCAUAUGUAAAGCCCAACAGACCUUAGCUUUCCAGACAAACAGCAAAGUUUGCACAAGCAUGCAAGAUGUUCCUCCUGUCUCCUAACUCCUGUCUUCAGUACAAAUAUUCUGGCUAUUAAAGGCAAAAAAGUAAAUUAC